AUUGAACGCUGGCGGCAUGCCUUACACAUGCAAGUCGAACGGCAGCACGGGAGCAAUCCUGGUGGCGAGUGGCGAACGGGUGAGUAAUAUAUCGGAACGUGCCCAGUCGUGGGGGAUAACGUAGCGAAAGCUACGCUAAUACCGCAUACGAUCUAUGGAUGAAAGCGGGGGAUCGCAAGACCUCGCGCGAUUGGAGCGGCCGAUAUCAGAUUAGGAGUUGGUGGGGUAAAAGCCUACCAAGCCUUCGAUCUGUAGCUGGUCUGAGAGGACGACCAGCACACUGGAACUGAGACACGGUCCAGACUCCUACGGGAGGCAGCAGUGGGGAAUUUUGGACAAUGGG
rnacentral:rRNA from 1 species